GUGGGGAAUCUUGCGCAAUGUGCGAAAGCCUGACGCAGCCAUGCCGCGUGGAUGAUGAAGGUCUUAGGAUUGUAAAAUCCUUUCACCGGUGAAGAUAAUGACUGUAGCCGGAGAAGAAGCCCCGGCUAACUUCGUGCCAGCAGCCGCGGUAAUACGAAGGGGGCUAGCGUUGCUCGGAUUUACUGGGCGUAAAGGGCGCGUAGGCGGACAUUUAAGUCAGGGGUGAAAUCCCGGGGCUCAACCUCGGAACUGCCUUUGAUACUGGGUGUCUUGAGUAUGAGAGAGGUGUGUGGAACUCCGAGUGUAGAGGUGAAAUUCGUAGAUAUUCGGAAGAACACCAGUGGCGAAGGCGACACACUGGCUCAUUACUGACGCUGAGGCGCGAAAGCGUGGGGAGCAAACAGGAUUAGAUACCCCUGUAGUCC
rnacentral:rRNA from 1 species